ACGAACGCUGGCGGCGUGCUUAACACAUGCAAGUCGAACGGUGAAGCGCUUUCCUUUUUGGUUGGUGUGGAUGAGUGGCGAACGGGUGAGUAACACGUGAGUAACCUGCCCCCUUCUUCUGGAUAACCGCAUGAAAGUGUGGCUAAUACGGGAUAUUCUGCGCCUGCUGCAUGGUGGGUGUGGGAAAGAUUGUGCCUUUGGGUGUUUUCGGUGGGGGAUGGGCUCGCGGCCUAUCAGCUUGUUGGUGGGGUGAUGGCCUACCAAGGCGGUGACGGGUAGCCGGCCUGAGAGGGUGGACGGUCACACUGGGACUGAGACGCGGCCCAGACUCCUACGGGAGGCAGCAGUGGGGAAUAUUGCACAAUGGGCGCAAGCCUGAUGCAGCGACGCCGCGUGAGGGAUGGAGGCCUUCGGGGUGUGAACCUCUUUCGCCAGUGAAGCAGGCCUGCUCCUUGUGGGUGGGUUGACGGUAGCUGGAUAAGAAGCGCCGGCUAACUACGUG
rnacentral:rRNA from 1 species